rnacentral:lncRNA from 1 species
CGAUUUCCCCUUGUUGGACGCCUCUUCUUUAGGUUCUUGAGCUUAAAUAAUACAAAUAAGAGUAUUCAAUAUUUAACUCAAUAACAUGAAUUUAUUUAUCACAUUCGGCAAUCACACAUCAUUAAAUUUUCAAACCAAGAUGUCAUUAUAUGACCACAUAUACACAUAUCCAUAUACUCAAGCUCAAUAAUUAUAAUGUAAUAUCAUGUACCCACUUUAAGUAUAUUGCCGAAUAUACUUAAUCAUACAUACACCUAACCAAAACAAUUUCCUAAAAUCUUCAUAUCAUUUAUACACUAGGCCGAUUGCCCUCACCAAGUUCACCUAUGUUCUUCAACAAUUCCUUCAUUGAUCAAGCACAUAUUCGGCUAAGAAAUGGCAAUUUUAGCAACCUUCGAUUUAGUACUUAACUUUUACCACAUAUCAAAUAACUCAUUUCCUUACUCAUGUGACCACGUAUAUUCGGUCAUGCAUACACACAUAAAAUCAAUUUGGAGACUCUAUCAAUCCAACAUACAUUCGGCACCUUCAUCUACCAUUCUACCAAGCAUGUAAUAUUCAAACACAACCAAACCCACAUUCGGCCCUAGCUCAUAACAAGGUAACCGAUUUAUUUAUUUAUUUUUUUUUUUAUAGUUCAAACACUCCUCUAUCAUCAUUCACCUAACUUUAACAUGAACCAACAAAACUCACCAUUUCUCAUCCAAAUAACAUGAACAACAACCAUUCCUUGAACCCUUUCUCAUGACCGAUUGCUCAUGUUAUCAACAAGAUUCAAGGUUUAAACAUGGGCUAUUUAAAACAUGCAUGCAUCUCAAAGACAACAUCAAACAUACCUUAGUCUAGCAACCACCAUAGCCGAUUUUCUCAAGCCUUUUUCCCCCUCCUUUCUUUCCUCUAUUCGGCCAAGGAUGUUCAAGAAUGAACUCUUUUUUUUUUCUUUCUUCAAUUCACGGCAACAAGGGGGGGUGAGACCAUGUUAUUUUUUUUUCCAUCACCCUUCCUUUCAUUUUUUUAAUCACCAUGCUUAUUAUUUUAUUUUUCUUAACAUGCAUCACUAGCAUAACAUGUUGGAGACAUGUUUCCACCUAUAGCAUGGCCG